CUUCGCCAGUACAUACUGUUCGGUAUUGAAGCUUGAGAAUAUUUUCCUAAAUUUGCCAUUUCUGAUUUUAUCGCAGGAAUAACUUUAGAGAGAGCUCGCGGCUGAUCAUCUCGCUGGAAUAAAGGCCAUGAACUCUGUUCUGAGGCAAGCUUUGGAAUCUUAGAGGAAUGAGGAAACUGAGUCUCAGAGACUGCAGUGACUUGCCCAUUCUUCCAUCUACCCAUCAAAGUCUGGUGUGGAACAGCCAUCUUGGAGGACAAGGGGCAGCGAGAUGAGGACUGGGGAAACAGAAAGGUAGGAGCCCGCUUGCUGAUGACAUUCAGAGCUG